GAGAACUUCCCAGCAUUCCUCUUUCCUUAGUUUUGAUUUACUUCUUAAAGAGACCGAGGCUCAAUUGUGACUAGGUGGAGAAAGGGGUUUAAGGAAGAUUAUCAGUGGCGUUAGAAGGUGCUAGAGGAGAAGAUAUGGAGACAUACACAUGGGAGAACACCAUGCAACAAUGGAAGCAGAAAUUGAAGUAUGCAUUUGCAAGCCAAGGAAUGCUAAGGAUUGUUGAUAACACUAAAAGCUAGGAGAGGCAAGGAAAGAUUCUCCCAUAUAGGUUCCAGAGAAAGGACGACCCUACUGAUCUUUAAUUUUAGACUUCUAGCCCCAAGAAUAGAUUUAUAUCAUCAGCUCCCCUGGUUCUGAGACCUUUAAGACUCAGACUGAAUUACACCACUGGCUUCCCUGGGUCUCCAGCUUGCAGAGAGCAGAUUGUGGGACUUCUUUGCUCCAUAAUUAUGUGAACAAAUUCUUCGUAAUAAUAAAUCUUCAUAUCCUAUUAGUUCUGUUUCUCUGGAGAACCUUACUUAUACAGAGUCUGUUUCACUA